GGGGGCGUAAUGGCUUCGACGGGGAGCACGAGUUUAAGUAAGCGAGUAGCAAGGCGGAACUGCUUUAAAAGUCGCAUUUUUCAAUUAAAUGGAAACACAAAUUAUGGAGAUAAUCCAAAAAACAGCAGAAGCAGCGUAAUUAAUGGUAGCUUUGGAAGAAAUGUCAAAGUUGUCGAAAUGGCUGCAGUUGCUUAAUUAGCCUUAAUAUUAGGCGACAUCUUAUUUUAGGUUACCGCGACUAACUUAAGGUGACUAACUAGCGGUGAACGUGAAUCAUUGAUUUCCUCGGCUUUGAUCAUGAAUUAGAGGAUACUGUAUUGUUGAGGUUUCCGUUGGACUCUCGAUGCAGGAAAUUUAAUCAUCGGAUACACUCGUAGAAAGCUUAGGUAAAUGCUUUUCGGACAGGGGUUCGACUCCCCUCGCCUCCACCA
rnacentral:tmRNA from 1 species